rnacentral:rRNA from 1 species
UACGUAGGGUGCAAGCGUUAAUCGGAAUUACUGGGCGUAAAGCGUGCGCAGGCGGUUAUGUAAGACAGGUGUGAAAUCCCAGGGCUUAACCUUGGAACUGCAUUUGUGACUGCAUCGCUGGAGUGCGGCAGAGGGGGAUGGAAUUCCGCGUGUAGCAGUGAAAUGCGUAGAUAUGCGGAGGAACACCGAUGGCGAAGGCAAUCCCCUGGGCCUGCACUGACGCUGAGGAGCGAAAGCGUGGGGAGCGAACAGG